GGAUGCCGGAUAACGUCCGGUGGAGGUGACUCCAAGGCUAGUGCAACAGAAAUAUACCGCCGGUCAUCUGACCGGUAAGGUUGGAAGGGCAGUGUAAGAGACUACCGCCUCGCUGGUAACAGCGAGGGCAUAUGUAAACCCCAUCCGAAGCAAGACCGAACGAAAACAAUGUGGCGGCCCGUUACGUUUUAGGUAGGUCGCUUGAGCCUUCCGGCAACGGCAGGCCUAGAUAGAUGAUUGUCCAACGACAUAACCCGGCUUAUCGUCUUGCUUA
rnacentral:RNase_P_RNA from 1 species